UGAGACACGGCCCAGACUCCUACGGGAGGCAGCAGUGGGGAAUUUUGGACAAUGGGGGAAACCCUGAUCCAGCCAUCCCGCGUGUGCGAUGAAGGCCUUCGGGUUGUAAAGCACUUUUGUCAGGGAAGAAAAGGUUUCGGAUAAUACCCGGAACUGAUGACGGUACCUGAAGAAUAAGCACCGGCUAACUACGUGCCAGCAGCCGCGGUAAUACGUAGGGUGCAAGCGUUAAUCGGAAUUACUGGGCGUAAAGCGUGCGCAGGCGGUUCGGAAAGAAAGAUGUGAAAUCCCAGGGCUCAACCUUGGAACUGCAUUUUUAACUACCGGACUAGAGUAUGUCAGAGGGGGGUGGAAUUCCACGUGUAGCAGUGAAAUGCGUAGAUAUGUGGAGGAACACCGAUGGCGAAGGCAGCCCCCUGGGAUAAUACUGACGCUCAUGCACGAAAGCGUGGGGAGCAAACAGGAUUAGAUACCCUGGUAGUCCACGCCCUAAACGAUGUCAACUAGCUGUUGGGCCCUUCGGGGCUUAGUAGCGCAGCUAACGCGUGAAGUUGACCGCCUGGGGAGUACGGUCGCAAGAUUAAAACUCAAAGGAAUUGACGGGGACCCGCACAAGCGGUGGAUGAUGUGGAUUAAUUCGAUGCAACGCGAAAAACCUUACCUACCCUUGACAUGUCUGGAAUCCUGAAGAGAUUUAGGAGUGCUCGCAAGAGAACCGGAACACAGGUGCUGCAUGGCUGUCGUCAGCUCGUGUCGUGAGAUGUUGGGUUAAGUCCCGCAACGAGCGCAACCCUUGUCAUUAGUUGCUACAUUUAGUUGAGCACUCUAAUGAGACUGCCGGUGACAAACCGGAGGAAGGUGGGGAUGACGUCAAGUCCUCAUGGCCCUUAUGGGUAGGGCUUCACACGUCAUACAAUGGUCGGGACAGAGGGUUGCCAAACCGCAAGGUGGAGCUAAUCUCAUAAACCCGAUCGUAGUCCGGAUUGCAGGCUGC
rnacentral:rRNA from 1 species